CCGACCUUAGCUCAGUUGGUAGAGCGGAGGACUGUAGUGGGGUUACCUAGCUGAAAUCCUUAGGUCGCUGAUUCGAAUCCGGCAGGUCGGA
rfam:Glycine soja cultivar W05 scaffold3426_16, whole genome shotgun sequence.